AUGUUCAGGAAGAAGCGAUGGUUUCCAUCAUAGACUCUAAAUGCAAAGUUAGCAUUUUUUAGCACUUGAAAAUGUUGCUCCUCGCAGCUGAAAACACUUGAGGAGGAAAGAGUCUGAGAAAGCAAAGAUUUAAGAACAUUUAUUCUCUGAGCUCCUUAUAGAUCUUUUAGCUAUCCCUUCAUUUCUUAUGCCUACCUGAAAGUAAGUAUGAAACCUAAACUUGGCAAAUAGGCUAGCCUCUCUGCCCCAGAUUAAUGUCUUAUGCCAGUGUUAAGUUUCAUAUUCAGUUUUAUUUAAUCAGGUACUCUUCAUAAAAAAGCAUACCUUUUCGUUAUUUUAAAAGUGAGGUGCUUUUCAGCAUGGCUUUCUCUCCUCAUGGCUAGAAACUCUUGAAUCACCAUUAAAGCAAUGGAACUGUCUCACCUCAGAUGAUCAUGAUGCUGUUUCUUGGGUUUUAAUGUAAUGCUUUGCUAUUCAUUACUUCUGGAAUUAUUGAAUAGUCCCAAGAGUAGUGGUUGGUUUUGUAGCAUGGUAGUUCACAUGCUGAAAUAAACAAGUGCCUGAUUCUCUCUACUGUUAAUUCAACCAGUCCCUUUACUUAAGUAGAUUUUUGAAGAUUAAGAUCUACAGAAAUCAAGUUCCAUGUUGAAUUCCUUUCACUCCAUCCACUUGGAAUUUUGAGAGGCAUGGAGGAAUUUGAACUGUGAAUACACGUCUGGUAAAACUAGUUGAAAGAAGGUAACAUGCAGGAUAUUUUUGAUAGAAACUGUGCUUAAUAUAUCGGAAAAUAUGUUCAAGAACAGUUAAUCCUUACGUUAGGAUAACCCCCCAGAAAGCUGGCAAGGUCAGGCUCUAUGUGGAUUGCGUGUCAUUUAAGUGCUGGCUGCAGGAGUUGCCUGGGGGUAGUAUUAACUACUGCGUGGGACUUGUUCUAAGCUACAUCCGUGAAUCAUCAUUCUUCAUUUGAAGAUACUGGGGUCCUUCUAUCCUCCAUCCUCCUUCUUUUGACAGGUGCAAUCAGUAGCUUUAAUUCUAGUGACUAUCAGGUGACUCUUCUUUUGUGUGGAGAUUAAUCAGUUUGGAAAACGCUACUUCCAUGUAAACUACAUGAGCUAAUCAGAUUAUAACCUUCCAUUUUUCAUGCAUAUAAUAAAAUGUGUGAGGAAAGGGCUUAAAGUCAUUUAAUUAAGGUUUACAUUGUACGGUGUGAAAAGCCUUUCUGAAUUUUAUUUUUAAACAGAUGUUAACAUUAGUUCACAUGAAAUCUAAUCAUCUGGGGAGAACGGCACGUUAUGAGGAAAGUGGCAAGAACUCCUAACAAAAGUUAUUGCAUGCAGUGUAGUGAAUUCAUUUACAGCAGAAGCUGUUGGGGAAAAGGAAUUUGUUUGCAAUACCUGUCAUCUAAUUUCUGGCUAGCUUGUAUGUUGCCAACCUGGUAAGUCAAGGAGGAUUUAAUGUAGGUGUGGGGGAGUCAAACCUUAGCUACUUUGUGUGUAUGUAUCUAGGUCUACACGUGUAAAUAUAUCUACCCUUUGUGCAUUUGUGUGUGCAUGCGAUUUUGGGUGUGGGCAAGUUAAAGCAAAGUAGAAGCUUGGUCAAAAAUAUCUUCACCAAGAGAAAGCAAAAACAAUCACCAAGAACAAUAAUUUUAAAUACAUACUAAUUUAAAUAGUUGCUUUGCUUUGGGACACUAAGUCCUCAAACUCACCUCAACAGCUGUGAUAUUGCUGUUGUUGAUGAUGAUUUUUUUUCAAUAGCUUUUAAAUGUGAAAUUUAAAGCUUCAUAUUAAAAAGUCAUGAAGUGCAUCUCAUUACUGAUGCAGGCAGCAUUGCUGCAGUGUUAUUGCACAGAUGAUAUUGUCUUUUGAAGCCUCAAAUGUCAGGGAGCAGGGAAGAGCCUCCUUGCUUUGGAGGGCAUCUUUUCUCUUAAUGUAGAAAGCAGAUGAAUACUGAGUAAAUAUAAUUGUUGGGAGUUCAUGCACCAACUCUACUCCUGUCUAGGCUUUUGGCUUGCAAAUGAAAUCAAGAACUAGAGAUUUAUCUAUCAUUUUUACCACAGCUUUCAGUGCAGCCUGAGAUUUGUUCAUGCAUAUGUCAUAUGGCAACAGGCAUCAUGAUCACACUGAGUCAUUUGCAGAUUCAAUCUUGAACUCAGACCCAGGUACUAAAUACAAUGAAAUCUUGUCCUUUGUUAUCCACUUUGGACCCUGACUUCGUUCAGUGUUGCACCGUGUUUCUGCCUCUAAUUUUACGUCUUCAGAAAACACUGAAUAAGGCCAAGCUGAAUAUUUUUAUUUUUCAUGCUUCUAGAAAACUGAGGUUAGGAGACAGCUCACCAGUAAAUUAACAGUACUAAGCAGAGUAUUUAUUAUGAUUGUCUCAGACCUCCUUGGUAAAGUCAACUGGAAGGGCCACAGAGAACAACAAACUUUUAGAAUGUUCAGUUUCAUAGAAUAAUGUGAAAUACAAUAUAGAUUUAAGAGGAAGAACCCAAGUCACAUACUAAAACAAACAUGAAAAAUUUAUCAUGAGGAUGUGGGCUUAAAUGCACAUGGAGCAGUAUAGUGCCUGUCUGCAAUUCUGGUUGAAAGUAUGAUCUAAUGUUACUAGAUUGUCAUUACAAGACACUUAAUCCCCAGGGUGAGAAACAGGAAGAAUAUUCACAAGUUUCAGUGCUAUUUGCUAAUUGCCAAUUGACUUGAGGAAAGCUAAAAAAUGACUGGAAACAUCCAUCCCCAUCCUGAUACACACACACACACACACUAAUAGUGGAAAUGGCAGCCAAGACAAACAGCUAGCAGUGCAGUGCAUCCUGUUGGCAUCGUAUUUUUGGCACUGUUGUAGCUACACAGAAAACAAGUGAUACAAGAAAUGUGCAAGGACAUCUGUUCUGUAACCUAUGGGGCUUCUCUCACAAAACCGUUGUAAAAUCUUCUGGGGGAGAGAAAAAUUUCUCUAUAUCUGUGCAGAUGCGCUAUUGUAAGAAAAAUAUCAAUGGAAGGAAGUGUUGAGCCUUUAAAAGAGGAAAUUGUUCACCAGAUUCACUGUCAAAUGUUCCAUUCUUUUCUUUCCUUUUCAUUUAACCUAAGUUAUCUGCCAUUCACAAGUUAUAUUUAAGCCAAGUGGUGUAAAUCUGUAGGGACUAAUAGAAUUGAAUCAUGGAUUAAAUUAGCCCAGCGUCUGCUUGUAACUCUUCUUCGCUGCAGAUUACUUGGGCUCUGUGUCACUCUGCUGAUUAUUCAGGUCACAGCCUCCCUGCUACCAGCUUCCUUCCUGAAUCCAGCAUCUUCAUGUCUGUCUAGAGGUGCCACAGGGCAAAGAGAACUAUUAAGGACAUAUAUUAAGAUCCAAAAUAUUGUUUAAUUGUUUAAUUACCAGCUUCUCUCAGCAUUGCUGAUUCUCCUAAAUGUGAGCAAGCUAUGGGAGAACUGGGACAAAGGAAAGUGAGAAUUUUAAUGAGAUUGUAAGGCCCAUUCUAUCAUUCCUCUACUGCCCUUCAGUCACAUCACACUAAUGGACAUUUUAAAGGAAAGGAACUUUCCCAAAAUUCAAAUGUUGCAAAAGUCAGGAUAUAAGUAGUUAGGAUUCCCCCACAGGUGACCUAUGGGGAGAGAGACAUUUUUCCAUGCAAAAGAAAUCAAAUCUCAUGUAAACCUGGAAUACAUUAGGAAACUGGAAGAUAAAGAGGGGCUGUAAGUUGUAGGAGGCUGGGAGGGCUUGAGGAAGGGCAGCUUAGCUCUGAAAGCUGGGAGCAGCUUGAGCUCCUGCAUGGGAGAGCAUUUAGGAGCAGGAAAAAGAAUGGGCCUAGGUAGAGGGAGGUUUGUGGAGAAGUAGAGUUUUUUUCCUCUGCUAUGAAAGAAGUCAUAACUCUGGAGCAGAUACUAAAGAAGGGAAGAUCAAGGACACUGGGGUGGCUUGGGAAAGAUAUGGGACUGAGGCAGAAGAUAGCGAGUGGGUACUCAGUAGUGAGAAGCCAGAGCUUUCAAAGAGAUCACCAGGUUCCAGAGCAGCAAAGGUGAGAAACCCAUCAAUGAAGGACAACAUAGAGGGCUGGUUCUUCAGCAUAGCUCACACAAACACCCUGACACCUCCACUUGGAAUAUUAGGGAUAGAGGUGCAGGACUGCUUUCCUGCUACUUACCCCUUUUAAAAUCUGGUUUCAGAAAUAUAUCUGAGAUCUUACCUUUUAUAUAACAUCUGAGCUUGAGAAGGACAUGAUUUGAAAAAGGGUGAGAUGGAGAAACGAGGCUACACACUUUACAAGCAUUAGGAUUUGGAUGUUGUGUUGUUAUUAAAAAUGCUUGUUGUCUUAUUAAGACAACACCUUGAAUCUUACCUUCAUUUUAUAUAUUUCCUCUAAGUGUUCCAUAUUUACAUCCUUGACACCCAUAUAGUAAAACUCCAUGCUUACAGGCAAAGAAGUUCAUUAUUUUGUAUUUCAGCACUUCCCUUCUUGAUGGAGGAGGAAAAGAGAUGCCCUCAUGAUCUGUUUCUGUUGAGACAUUGGCUCAUGUUCCUCCAGGAUGUUCCAUAGCAUUUUUUCUGGAAAGCAACCAUGAAGGCUGCUCUGUAAUUUAUGUGAUCUGCCAUGCAAUAGCUUGUUUUAUGAGUAAAGCAGAAGCGAGUAACAAAUGUGCUUAUUCAAAGCAAUUCUAGAAAGGAGGAUUGUGUUGGUCCAAUUAAUCUCUUGAUGAUUUGUGGAUUUCAAUGACCACUGAUCAACAUCAGUCGGUUCUAUAUUUCACACGAUCGCCCUGUGAUCUAAUCUCAAAUCGUGACACUACUUAUUACUAUGAUAAGGGGCUCUCCAUCUAAGCCACUAUACAAACAAAUAACUUGAACAAACAGUUCUUCCACAACAAGUUUACAAUUCACACAUCAGACCAGGAAGCUAAGAAUGGGUAUUUAAAAAUGUAAACAAGGUGGGUUUGAAAAACAGAUGAGGUAGCAAUAAAGCUGUGUAGGAGGAGCAGAUGUCUUAGCUUCCUUCUCUCUUUACAGUGCUACCUAGGAAUGCUUUCUGGGCUAUACCAUACAUAAGAAUAAAUGAGAUCUGAUUGUUGUGCUAGUGUUGAUAAGAAAACAUGACUACGAGAAGAAAGGAGAUUCUUGUGUGCUAGUCCUUACCCCUUGGCUUGUUUGGUGCUGACAGUUGCUAGCCUGGGAUCAACUGAAGUACACCACAGAAGCAUUCCUGUACAAGGAAGCACAGGAGCCCAAAUCCCUCUGUCCUCACUUGCUGAGUAGAGCUUGCACUGUGAUGAGAGGAAUCCCAAGAAGAGGAGCAGAAGGGAGAAAUUAGUAUGAAGAAAGGUGUUGGGUUACUGGAACAGAGAAGCUGAGAGUAGAUGAAAAACCUUGUUGCCACUGGGAGAAAUUGUUUGGCUAGAGCAAACCUAGUAAUUUUGCUGUUCAGUCAAGAUCAAGAAUGGAAAGGCAGAUGGUGAUCAGAGCCUAUAGGAGCUGAGACAACGUGUCUCAAACUGCAACAGACACUGUGAGGUGGUAGAGAAAGAGAUGUCUUAUAAGAAAAAGGAAAUAUAUCAAACUGUCAAGAAAAACAGAAGAAAUGAGAAAAGGAAGAAUUCAUUCAUUGAGGAACCUGAAGGGUGAUAAAACUGAUAGAUACUUUAGUGGGAGAAGUUGUGUCUGAGGUGAAGUGCUGACGCUUGGCCCUUAUGGGACAAGAAAUGUCAUGGAAAAGUAAUAAAAAGUAAGAUGUGGGCAGCAGAGAUUUUAAAAUGAAGGGAAUAAUUAUUUGAAUGGAUAUGGAUUUGAAUGAAUAAGGAGCAAGUAGAGUGCAGGGUGGCUGUCAGAUACAGGGGGGCCCAGAACACAUGGCAAAGGAAGAAUGGAUGAGUAAGUAAAAGCAAUAAUCUGAUAUUUGGCAAGACUGUUUAAGAAAUGUUUAGCUUUUCAUUUGUUUACUAGGACAAAAAACAUAAAACCUUACAGACUAGAAGGAUUCCACCUUCACACAUUAUGGGUGGGAGUACUUGGUGCAGCCUUCUGUAGCUUUAGCAGCUAGUCAUUACUAUAGACAAAUCUGGGAUGCAUGGUCUUUUAGUUUAGGGCAGCCUGGCAAUUUUUGCACUGUUAUUCAUCUUGCCAAAAUACACAUUGUCUAAUAAUAUUUAAGUUGUAUAAACAUACCUUUCAAGGGAAGGAGCUGCUGAGAGAAUCCAGGCAAAGAAUUAGUAUGAGAGCAAAUCUAGUACUUCAUUACAAUGGCAGCUCCUGUUUCGGAUAGAGCCCCUGCUGCCCCCAAAGAAUGGGAAAAGAAGACAGAGACAGAGUCUUUCUAUCCCAACAAUGAAAAGAGAACGUCUUCCAAUUUCCUAUACAGCAAUUGCUGGCCUCACUGUGAACACCACCACCACACGGCCUGCAGUCAAUUCCAGUGUUUGUGUUUUUACCUUUGGUGGCAGUGUCUAUUUUUUCUUUUUCCCUGUGAUUAAUACAUGAAAGUUAGGUGGGAGUGAUUAAAUAGAAAAAUCUGGUUUUCAACUCUGCUUUGCCUUUCACCUUCAAGACAGAAUGGACUUCAUUUUUUUAUUGUUCUGGCUGUGUUUUCAAAGUGAAGCACAAGAUGUCUGACAGUUUCAUAACCAAACCUUGCUAAAUUCAUUACAAAAAAUCAUUUGUCUGUUGCCAAAGCAGUUAGGGGAAAGAGGAACAAUGUGCUUUGCAGAACCAAAGCAGGACUCAUGAAGUUGAGAGAGAAGCUGGUUAAUAAAAUAUGCAGUCACGCAGUAAAAUGUGAGCUAAAAAUUGAUCACUUGUCUUUUGCUGGUGCUUCAUAAUCAAUCCAUAUUGGUUCACCUUGCUUAGUACAGGUCACUGGCCUAUGUAUAAGACAUCAGUCUUCUGUAUUGUUCAAGAUCCAGUCUUGGGGUAGUGCCCUGCUGCCCUGUUGCCCACACCUUCUGCAAUCAUCUGCAGGCAUCAUAGAAGCUCUGGGAAGUGUAAGCUCUAGGAAAGCACAUGAGGAAGCUGGAGAGACUUUACAGGGCACAAAGGCAAGAAUCCUAAAAGUAUAUCAUGUUAUUUAUGUAGGUAAUGCAGCUUUCAUUAACGCAAAUGUAAGUCACUCAUGUACCCAGGAAGAAGGUGUCCCCAAAUCUAUGCACAAACACAGCUGUUUAUCAUGGCACUGUUCUGUACCCUCUUUAUUAGGUCUGUAAUCUAAAUGGUUUCUACGUACAGGAAAAGAUUUAGAUACAAAAUACCAAAAUACACACCUUCCUCCAUUUGGUUUUAAUACAGUUGGGUUAGUGUUUUCUUUAACAAUUCAUUUUUUCUUUAGGCAGCAUUAAGUGCCUUGAAACAGUUUUCAGAACAAGGACUGGAUCCAGUGGAAGGGGCUAUGAAAGUUGAAAAUGGAUCACUUGAAAAACAAGUCAAGCAUCUGGGAGAGAAAGCAGACAAUAAACAGACUAACUCAGGCACCAUUGCUCAGGACUGCAAGGAUUCAAAGGCUGUCGUCUAGGAGCUUCCCAGCACCCACGGCUGCCACUGCAUCCUUAUAAACCUGUCAACACGCAAUAGGGUGUAUGUGUACAAGGAAAUGAAUGACUAAUACCAUUAUUUGAGUCUUAUGUGAAGACAACACUAUUCUAACACAAGAGAUAGCAUACAUGGUACUGUUUAUUCAACUGUGGAAAAAAAAUAAAAUCGAACAUUUCCCUUAGAACUCAAGAUCAGAGCAUAACUCAAUUGCCCAGAGGCAGAAGAAAUCUGAUCAUGUUACUGGAGGUUAAAACGACAACUAAUUAACAAAAGUGUUAGGUAAAAAAAAAAAAAAAAAAAAAAAAAGGGAAACUUUAAAAUUGAUUAAUACUGAGGAAAAGAAGUCAGCAUUGGUUCAGUUAUACAAUUUUUCGUAGUGUAGUUUUAAGUUCAGCUUACUGUUUUUUAAAUAAUGCUUGAAUAUUUUAAAAUUAACCAAUGACAGUGCUGUGAGAAUUGUAGUUGUUGUCUUCAUAUAUAGUCAUACAGCUUAUCUUUUUAUGCAGACAUUAUGCAUUCUUCAUUCUAUAUGAAUAUGUAUGACUUUAAGAUGCACUACUCAGAGUUGUAUGCAAACAGAAGUUGAAAUCAUGACAAGUAUUUGCUUAACAUGAACAGAUGUUAGUUAUGAUCAGUCUCGAUAUACUCCAGGAAAAAGCAGAUAUGGUAUUUGAUUAUCCUUGCCAUAAUCAAUUAAAGAGGCGUCUUGCCUCCAAGCGACAUGUUCCCCUUCGAUUCUGCUCUCUGUUGUGUGAAGCACAUCUACACCCCAUUCUGUGUGUUGUAUCGGCCCACCGUUUGCAUCAACUGAGUGUUUUUAAUCUCUGCAUUCUGACCAACAGCAAAAGGUACAAUUGCAACAUUAUCAAGCCAAGGAAGGAAAGAUGUUGAUGUAAAGGUCAUUCUUUUGUGAAAGGAGAAGCAGCAGAGAUAAGACCUGUGGCUGCACUCUGUACCAGCAUAUUUCAUUGAAGUGUGUGGCCAAAUGCAGUAAAACCACAUCAGUUCAUGUGUA